CAUGUUGAUUGUGAAUUUGAGAGUGAUUUACAUAAAGAGCUGAGCAUACAGUAAGGUCAUGUUGGUGACUCAGAUAUGCCAAAUGCCAAUGUCGGCAUAAACAUGUUAAAAAGAAGUGGAGCAAGUACAGGUUCGGCAGAAACAUCAUGGACGAUAAAACUACAUGAAGCUGAAUUCACCAUCAAUAAUAAGGGACUGUAUGUGGGUGAGAAAGUAAGAUAAGCAGAUUCCUGACCAUGUAGAAUACAUUUUCAGGAAGUGUAAAAAGUAGAUUGAGGGAAAAGAGUAUCACCACAGAUGAAUAGCUGUCCAUCAUAUUGAAGAAACCUUGCCAAACAAAUGUUGACCAAGAGCUGUUACAAGAAUAUUCUGAGCUCAGAAUUUAGACUACUAAUAUUUAAAGACGGUUAUUAGCUAUAUACUGUACUAAUCUACCCUAAUAAAAGUAUAACUGUCUGUAUCUGUGUGUCCAUCUGGUUCAUGUGUCUCUUUCAUUCCAACAGAUGGCACAUCAGAAACAUGUGUAAUAACUAAAUGCUUUCCAUUUGUCAUUCCAACAGAUGUUGCAUCACAAACGUUAAAACUACUUUUAUGAAUUCCAUACCAAAUAGCAUAUGACAGAGACAUAUGCAUUGCAUUUGUCAUUCCAACAAAUGGUGCAUCACAAACAUUAGUAGUAAUGCAUUUUAUUACUACAAAUGUUUGUGGUGUGCAAUCUGAUGGAAUGACAAAUGCAGUGCAGUUUAUUACUGUAUGCAUUAUAACAUACAUUGCAAUAGACCUUAGCAAAAGUUAACGCUAAGGUCUGCAUUGAUUACUACCCAUCUCAGAUGGAUAGCACAGCUAGUUAAGGCUGUAAAGAAAUUAUGUGUUAAUGAGAUUUACACAAUAAAGGUAGAUUUAAGAUUGGUUAAAUGAUGAAGAGAAAAGAACAAUCUAUGGUCUUAUGUAAAUGUAGCAGGAACCAAGGCAGAAUGAGAGUAUUAGUAAUGAAACAGGUAAACGGCCAUGUAGCAUGAAGUUGUCCUGGUAUGAAAAAGGCAAGUGACAUGUGAAAGAGGUACUGGACAGAAAGUUUGAAUAGAUGACAGAAAGAUAAGAGAAGUGUCAAGAUAGGACUGUUUGUGAGAGGAAAGGAGGGCAGUGAUCUUAGCUUGAAAGAAAUAUUCAAAAUAGUGGCACUUUUAGAGUGAUAAAAGAACUUGUUCAUAACUUUAAUUAGUAUUCUAUAAUUCCAUUGCUUCUACAUAAUGCAACUCAGAGAAGUGUCUUGCCCUAGCAUCAGCGAGUGCUUGCUGGUAUGCCAGAGGUGAGAAGGCCUGAUCUCUGGACAGAGAGACCAGAAGGCCUCCAUUGUCACUCCAACCAUAGAGAGGUGCAGGGGUAGAAACACAUCGGGUGAAAGAGAACAUCAAGGGAUGACUAAGGAAGGAGAGUUUGUGUCAAAGGUCCAAAUGGGAGGGACAAAGGAACAGUUUCAAAACACAUGAAAGCAAGUAGCAUGUGCAGUUUGAGAACAAAAAUGGCCAUAGGGGUUGAUGGCCUGUCUCAUAGUAUAACAUUUUCCAGGCAUAACAUAUAGAAUAUGUACAGUUUUUACACUGAAUUUGUUGGUGAAUAGGAUUUUUGUAGUUGGUAUACAAGCCUUUAACAAUGUACAACUAGUUGUUAACUUUGAAUUUUGUAAACUAUACAUUUUUUAGAAAAAAUAAGAGCAUCAUAUAAUUUAAAAUAUGCUUAAUGACUUAAUUCAAUAAUUGGAGAUUUUUUUCUUGCUGCACAUGAUGUAAUUAACACAGAAAAAAUCUGCAUUCUCUAUAGUUGCAAUUUCUACCUAUAAUGAAUGAAACAGAAUGGUAAGGAACAUUUCAAAUAAAAACAAAAUGAAUAAUUUCUACAAACAUCACAGCUUGUAUUUUUCUUGUUUUCUGAAAAAAAUCUAAAUACAUCAUAUUCCAGCAGACAGUAAGCAGCAACACAGUACUCCAUUCAAACAAAAAACAUUGGCUGGUCGCAUCAUAAAUUACAAUGGGAAAAAAGCUGCAAAUUGAAAAUAAUCAGAAAUACAGUGGAAAAUAUUUGUACAAUUCAUUUUGUGUUUUUAACGGCACUUAGUUCAUUUAUCUAGUGUGAAGGCCUUAGCUUCAACCACGUUGAGAGAAACAACAGUUGACUUUCAAAGUCAGACUAAACAAGAAUUUAAUUAAAAAAAAAAAACAAAACAAAUGGUGCCUGAUUCUUUUGGUGUCCAGACAAUUAAUUACAGGCAUGAGUUAACACAAAGUACUAUAACCAUGGGUGUUCCCUGUGGAUUUAUUUGCUCAAUGGUAAAACUAAAUAUGUGAUGUGUUACAGCUUAUAUGAGGUACUGGGUAAUGACUGCAUGUGUUUGGGUGUCGUGAAGAACAAUGGUUGCCUGAUGCAUUAAAUAUUAAUACAAAUGAGAGGUGCACAGAUGAAUAAGUAUGCCAUAAAUACAUAAACUUGACUU